GUCAGUAUGUGGCAAUGGGUAAGAUGUUGGACUACUGAUCGGAAGGUAAUGAGUUCAAAUCCCAGCACUGACC